rnacentral:rRNA from 1 species
UUUAAUAUUAUUAUUAUUAUUAUUUUAUUUAAAUUUAACAUAAGAAAAUUAAUGUUUUAUUAAAAAUAAGAAUAAAUUUAUUAUUAUUAUAUUAAAUUUUUAUUGAAAAAGAAUUAUUUUAUUUAUUGUAAAGAAAAAUUAAGUUUUUGUACCUUGUGUAUCAGGGUUUAUUAAAAUAAUUAAAAUAUUUUAUUUUCUCGAAGUUAAAAGAGCUAAAAAAAUAUAUUUUUUAUUGUAAAAUAAAUAUUAUUAAUAUUUUUUUAGUAGUGAAAUGUUAUUCGUUUUUAAAUAUAUCUAGUUUUUUAAGAAAUAAAUUUAAUUUAUUUAUUUAUUUAAUAAAUAAUUAAUUAUUUAAUUUUUUAUUAUAAAUAUUAAAUAUUUUUAGGGAUGAGCUUAAAAAUAGAUUUUUAUUAAAAAUUAUAUUUAAUUAAAUUGUAGGAUUAGAAUUUUCUAUCAUUAAAAGGAUGUUAAAAUUAAUUUAUUUUUUCAUAUUAUUUAUAUAAUUUAUAAAUUUUUUAUUAAAAUAUUAAUUUUAAUUUUAAAUAUUAAGUAAUUAUGAUAAAAUUAGUAUAAUUUAUUGUUUAAAUUUAUUUAUUUUUAAGAUUAAAUAAAGGAAUUCGGCAAAUAUUUUUCUACCUGUUUAUUAAAAACAUGUCCUUUUGUUUAAAAUUUAAGGUCUAACCUGCCCACUGAAAAUUUGAAUGGCCGUGGUAUUUUGACCGUGCUAAGGUAGCAUAAUCAUUAGUUUUUUAAUUGAAAGCUGGAAUGAAAGGUUGAAUAAGAAAAAAACUGUCUCUGUUUAAUAUUAUUAGAAUUUUAUUUUUAAGUUAAAAAGCUUAAAUAUUAUUAAAAGACGAGAAGACCCUUUAGAGUUUAAUUAUAAAUUAAAUUUUUUAUUUUAGUAUUAAUUUAUAUAAUUUAUUAAUAAUUUAAUUGGGGUGAUUGAAAAAUUUAACAAACUUUUUUUAUUUUUAAACAUAAUUAUAUGAAUAAAUGGUCCAAUAAUUUUGAUUAUAAGAUAAAAUUACCUUAGGGUAUUAACAGCGUAAUUUUUUUAGAAAGUUCAUAUUAAAAAAAAAGAUUGCGACCUCGAUGUUGGAUUAAAAUUAAUUUUUGGUGCAGAAGUUAAAAAAUUAGGUCUGUUCGACCUUUAAAAUUUUACAUGAUCUGAGUUUAAACCGGUGUAAGCCAGGUUGGUUUCUAUCUUUAAUUAAUAAAAAUAUUUUAGUACGAAAGGAUUAAAUAUUUAAUUAAAAUUUUAUAUUUUGAAU